UACGGAGGGUGCAAGCGUUGUUCGGAAUUAUUGGGCGUAAAGCGCGCGCAGGCGGCCCAGUCAGUCUACGGGUGAAAGGCCGGGGCUCAACCCCGUGCUUGCCCGAGAUACUGCUGGGCUGGAGAUAGGUAGAGGCGAGCGGAAUUCCGGGUGUAGCGGUGGAAUGCGUAGAGGUCCGGAAGAACACCAGAGGCGAAGGCGGCUCGCUGGACCUCAUCUGACGCUGAGGCGCGAAAGCGUGGGGAGCGAACAGG
rnacentral:misc_RNA from 1 species